AUCGAACGCUGGCGGCAUGCCUUACACAUGCAAGUCGAACGGCAGCACGGGGCAACCUGGUGGCGAGUGGCGAACGGGUGAGUAAUGCAUCGGAACGUACCUUUCAGUGGGGGAUAACGUAGCGAAAGUUACGCUAAUACCGCAUAUUCUGUGAGCAGGAAAGCAGGGGAUCGCAAGACCUUGCGCUGAUUGAGCGGCCGAUGUCAGAUUAGCUAGUUGGUGAGGUAAAGGCUCACCAAGGCGACGAUCUGUAGCGGGUCUGAGAGGAUGAUCCGACACACUGGAACUGAGACGCGGGCCAGGCUCCUACGGGAGGCAGCAGUGGGGAAUUUUGGACAUUGGGGGCAACUCUGAUCCAGCCAGGCCGCGUGAGUGAAGAAGGCCUUCGGGUUGUAAAGCUCUUUCGGCCGGGAAGAAAUCGCACGGGCUAAUACCCUGGGUGGAUGACGGUACCGGAAUAAGAAGCACCGGCUAACUACGUGCCAGCAGCCGCCGUAAAAC
rnacentral:rRNA from 1 species